CCUACGGGGGGCUGCAGUGGGGAAUAUUGGACAAUGGGCGAAAGCCUGAUCCAGCCAUGCCGCGUGUGUGAAGAAGGCCUUCGGGUUGUAAAGCACUUUCAGUGGGGAAGAAAGCCUUGGGGCUAAUACCCUCGAGGAAGGACAUCACCCACAGAAGAAGCACCGGCUAACUCCGUGCCAACAGCCGCGGUAAUACGGAGGGUGCGAGCGUUAAUCGGAAUUACUGGGCGUAAAGCGCGCGUAGGCGGUCUGAUAAGCCGGUUGUGAAAGCCCCGGGCUCAACCUGGGAACGGCAUCCGGAACUGUCAGGCUAGAGUGCAGGAGAGGAAGGUAGAAUUCCCGGUGUAGCGGUGAAAUGCGUAGAGAUCGGGAGGAAUACCAGUGGCGAAGGCGGCCUUCUGGACUGACACUGACGCUGAGGUGCGAAAGCGUGGGUAGCAAACAGGAUUAGAUACCCCUGUAGUC
rnacentral:rRNA from 1 species